UGAGAUCCUGCAGCUCCACCUGCCUGUUAAGAUGCUGCCUCAACGAUUUUCCUGAUAAAGUGAUGACAUCCACAAACAAACUAAUCAGUUGGACAAUCUGUGGCUAAUUUAACUCAUAAAUAUCAUCCAUAAUAUAAUGAUCCAUACAAUAAUAACUAAACUCCUGAUGGUGUUAAUUUAACACACAUUAGUUCUACAUGUUUCUGAUGUCAAAAACAAUGUUUGGACUAAUUGCAGAACAUGUAGCUAAGCAGUUUAAGUUAAGCUGCUUAAAAAAGCACACAAUGUCUUCCAUCUUUCACUUUUUUUUCACAAAAAUUCACAAUAAUUAAGUUGGUUGAUGUUUGGACAUUUAUCAUAAAUUAGCUUUCACCCCCACACCUGAUAUACAGUAAUAUAAGUUGUCUGAUGUUAGUUAUGUCCAGCAUUAGCCCUGCUGGGGAUAAAUAAAGUUAUUUGAAUUGAAUUGAAUUGAAUUACAUUGAGUUUUUAGCUCUGUUAUGUUUGACCGUUUCAAAUUCACCUCAUUCAUCUCUCAGGCGCUACUGUCAAUGCUACAGCUAACCGACAAUGCUUAGUAAAACUCGAGGGUUGCCAGCCCAUCAGUUCAAUUAUACCCCAUAUCUCUUGCUCUCAUCUCCUUUAAAGUUGCCUAAUUCCUGGUAACUCAGAAGAAAUCAGAAGGCUUCUCUCCUAGUGCGGAGCAACAGUAUAUUCAUGGAUCACCAAAGAAAAAUAAAGUGGAAGUCAGACAAUUUAGAUGAAAAGCCAUUGUCUCCGUGUGUCUCCCAGGAGGUUUUUCCAUGUAGUCAAUGCGUUAUAACCAGCCUGUAAGUACUGAGGAGCGAGGAUUUUAGAGGCUGCUUCUGAAAGCAGGUCUAUGUACAGGUAAAUCACAUGAGCUCAUCACUCCAGGGAGAACUAUAUUGUGUGCUAAUCAGAAAAGAAUAAAGCUACAUCCUUGCUUUACUGGUUCACAGUGAGAAUUUCUGGGUUUGGUAUGUAGGUGUAGCAGGAUUGUCUCAUAUCUUUAAAAAAAAUAACGGAUAGAGUAUCCCAUCGAAGACACUUUAACAUAACAAAUGUGACACAUGCAAAUGUUUUAACAGACAAACAUGCACACAAAUGUUCAAACGCACACACACACAUACACAAUCUGGGCAUUGCUGGCGUCUCCAGCCCCGAGGACAGUUCUGCUCUGUUGCGUGUGGGACCUUAACCCAGCAGAGUGUGAAUCAUAGUCCAGCAGUCAGGUCGGUUAACCCUCUGUGAGUCUCCCGGCACAUCCAUUCAAACAGACAGACAGUGUGCUUCAGCUACAAUUUAUAUAUAGCUUCUUUAUGUCCAGGGGGAGUUCAAGGCAGAUGAGUAGUGGCAUAUCUCUACUUAGCUCAAAUUAUGUACAUUAAUGUACGAUUUUACAGCUACAGGAGACUGAAAAACACUCAAAUAACUGCAUUUCAUCUGCUUCUUUUCAAACAUUCUUGAUUUUGAAUAGGAUACACUACCAAAGACCAGCUGUAAUAGAAAUAUCCCACUUGUCACUGUAUUAUUUCAAUCCAGCCCAAUCAUUCAAAAUUUGUGCCAUUUUACCUGAAAGGUUGACACAAUCAGCCACCCUUUUAACUGAAAGGUUGAUCCAAUCAGUAUUCAACACACCGCACUUAGUCCCUGAAUGAGUCUAUUCAUUUAUGUAGAAAUGCGCCUGUAGUAAAAUAUGUGUGAAGAAAAAGCACUUUUACCUGCACACUCACGGAGUAAAAGCAAAAGGAAAACUUAUCUGUGAUUCUUAUGCGUGGAUUUGAAUGCAUCAUCCCACACACAGUGCGGAGGUCUUGCUGAAUCAGAAUGUCAGUCAGGGUGACAGAGGCAUUCACAUUUACAUGCAGCAAAGCCAACAUCCAUACACAGCGCUGAGUCACGAUUGCAUGCCCCUGAAGAGGUAUUGUUCAUUCUGUCUAGUUGGAAAACAUCUCUCAAGGGAUGUGACCUUAGUCGCUGACAAAGAAUCUGACCUUUGCAUCAUAUCGUCUGUUAACACAUCACAUACUGCUUGGUUAUACAGCAUUACAGCAUUCAAGACAUAUACCUACACUACCUAAAGCAGUUUUGCUGUUAAAAUGCAACAUUGUGACAUUUAAUGCACAAAUAUAACAGAUGCAGAUUUUUUUUAAACAGGAUCUGAACUUGCUCCUUGUAAUAAAACAGAAAAAGAUGCAAUAAACCUUGUCACAUUGAAAUUAUUGGAGCUUGGUGUUCAGAAUGCAAUCUUCAUGUGUCUCAAUCUCUGCCUCUGAAUCUUGUGCCACACCUGCCCACUAGGAGCCCUCAGUGCAUCUUUCACCCCUCCAUAUCACCUCAGUGCCCAUGUGACCUGCUACCUGCCUACACAGUUGUUUCCCAUCAGCUCGUUAGCUCACUAGGAGAUAACGAAGGCAGUUCUAGCUGACAAAUUAGCUAAGCGUUGCAAAAAAGUAUAGAUGUAGGCGUACCAUUAGCAUAUCCACAAUAACGGAAGAACAGAACAGAAUGUCAGAGCGCAAUAAAACAAAAAAUAUAUAUCUUUUCAGCAAAUAUAAUGGGAGAGAGAUGAGUUUGUACCUGCCAAUACAGCCAUGAGAUAUUGUGAAGUUUGGAGAGGAUCGAACGAACAUAUUAUUAUAACUCAGUUAUUACAAUAUAAACAUCAAAUACAAUAUUGACAAUAUAAUCACUGUGCAUUACUGUUUAUAAAGCAUUUACUGAGUAUCUCAUAAAGCAUUCAGACUCACAAAGCAGCUGUGAAGAAGCAGCGAAUUAAGCAUAUUCUGAGUGUAGAAAAGAACAAUGAGUAAAGAAACAUUUUAUGUGCAAAAACUAUUAGAAGUACGUGUAAAACCAUCUUCUUCUUCUUUCGACUGUUCCAGCUAGGGGUCGCCAUUUCUAUCUCUUCCUGUCCUCUGCAUCUUCCUCUGUCGUGACAACCACCUGCAUGUCUUCCCUCACCAUAUCCAUAAACCCCCUCUUCAGCCUUGCUCUUUUCCUCUUGCCUGUCAGCUCCAUUUUCAGCAUCCUUAUCCCAGUAUAACCAGUAUCUCUCCUCCGUCUAAACCAUCUCCAUCUCACCUGUCGCUUUGUCUCCAAACUGUCCAACCUGAGCUGUCCCUCUAAUCUACUCAUUCCUUAUCCUGUCCAUCCUCGUCACUCCCAAUGAAAAUCUUAGUAUCUUCAACUGUGCCACCUCCAGCUCUGUCUACUGUCUUUUCGUCAGUGCCACCACUUCCAAACCAUACAACAUAGCUGGUCUCACUAACCUCUUGUAAACCUUCCCUUUCACUCUUGUCGGUACCCUCCUGUCGCAGAUCACUUCUGACACUCUUCUCCACCCACUCUACCCUGCCUGCUCUCUCUUCUUCAUCUCUCUUCCACACUCCCUGUUACUUUGAACAUGGGCCGGUCCAUUUAGUUGGCCACAAAGCCACCAGCAAUGUGGGGAAAAAUAAUUGCGGGAAAAAAAAUUCAACCUGCCGGCUGUGGCCCACUUGAUGUUGGAUCAUCCCAUCUGACUGGGGGUUACAUGGUCCCAAUUGUCAAUAGGCUACCUACACUUUAAGGCAGGUAUAGAAAGUGCUACCGUUGUUCUCCCACCACCCUUUCAAGUGGAUGUGUCCAUCCAUGUAAUGUAAGAAGUCAAGCGGGAAAUAAUCAGAUCAAGACAGAGAGAGUGGAGUUGCUAGCCAAUAUAAAUGGAUAAAGGUCCCAAAAAGCAAAAAAGUGGAGCAGAAAAGUUUUUACCCCCAAGAAGAGGAAGCCGCUGCCAAGGAUGAGCGAAAGGUGGCAUAUGAGCGCAGCUUUUCAACUUUAAAAUUCAUCAAGAAUAGAUUACGGAGCACUACAUCUUGAAGCGUUCAUGCUUAUGGCUACAGAAAAAGACAUUCUCAUUGCUUUGGACACCGAUGGAAUAAUCAACAGGAUGGCAGAGAAGAGAGCACUGAUGAGACAUCCUCUCACUGCCUAAGGUCGCUCAUAAAAGUUCUAACAGGGGGUUAGACGUCUCUGGGGACGAAUGAAGCCCUAACAUACAUCGGACCAGAGAACAUCGCAUGGACACUGAUACCUUCCUCUGGGAUCCAUUCUCCUCUCCAAUUGAUGGAAACCAAAAAAGGGCCUUUGGCCAGACAGGUCCCAUUAUGUCUCAAUGACAGAGCCUGGGGGUGAAAGACACUCUGUUCUUUCCUCAGCGCACCUUUGGGUCUCAACGAGGAAUGACAUAUGCCCUGAUGAACAGAGAAGGGGGUGAUAUGCCUGCCAAAUGCAAGUCAAGUUGUAUGUUACUGGUCUGAACUUUGUUUCAGCUCAGAAGUACACUUCUUCUUCCAUCCCCCACCACCAUUUUUGGUUAACAAAAGUGCAAGCAACCUUCGGACAUAAACGAUCUUCUAACCUAACACACCACCACAAACCAUUUGAUUUUUUUUUGUCAUUUUCACUGUUUAGCUCUGCGUUUAGCCAAAAUCACAAUAGCCAUAGGCACUAAUGAUCUCCGAGUCCAGAGCCCCCUUUGCUCCCUGUCACAUACCCACCUCAUGACCUCAUGACUGGAUGUAUGCAUUAAACAGAUGUGGCUGGCUAUGAGAGGCCUGAAACAGGAUAGGACAGCCUAUAGCCUUUAGGCUGGUCUUCUCUGGCCUUGAAGCCAGGGGCCUCUGGGUCCAGAGGACAGGAUAAACAGGAUAGAUGUGUGUGCAUGUGGAGGGGGGGUGUGUGUGAAAGACAGACAGAGAAAGAGAGAGAGAGAGAGAAACCCCUUUCCCACAUGCAACACAUAAAUGUUCAGGCAGUUUUCCAUGUCAGUGUCACGUGAGAACAGUGAGUCCAUUUUCAGUGUACGAUGCGCCGGCAAUUUACAGGCUCAAGAAAAAAAAGUAGCAAUAUUCAUGCUAUACUUUUGUUAUGUUUAUAUGUAUACACAGAAAAAAAGUAAAUCAGGACACUGAGCCCAUUUAUUACAAAUGAUAAUCUCGAUAUUUGUAAUAUCAUCUGCAUAUUUUACAAACAUAUAUAACUGUUUUUGUGAACCUUUGAAUCACCCUCACCUCAUUACCCUGUAAAGCAUGAAAAUGCACUUGCAGGAACUACUUUCAUAUGGCGAUCCACUUCAAAAAUGAUCACGCUUUAUCAGGUGGGUUUUCAUUGAGUGGCAGUGCAGCUAUUGAAAGUCAACUGCAGAAAAGCAUUUUAUUCAAGAGGUAU